rnacentral:rRNA from 1 species
AUUGAACGCUGGCGGCAUGCCUUACACGUGCAAGUCGAACGGUAACAGGUUAAGCUGACGAGUGGCGAACGGGUGAGUAAUGUAUCGGAACGUGCCCAGUCGUGGGGGAUAACGUAGCGAAAGCUACGCUAAUACCGCAUACGAUCUACGGAUGAAAGCGGGGGAUCGCAAGACCUCGCGCGAUUGGAGCGGCCGAUAUCAGAUUAGGUUGUUGGUGAGGUACAAGCUCACCAAGCCUGCGAUCUGGAGCUGGUCUGAGAGGAGGACUAGCCACACUGGAACUGAGACACCGUCCAGACUCCUACGGGAGGCAGCAGUGGGGAAUUUUGGACAAUGGACGCAAGUCUGAUCCAGCAAUGCCGCGUGCAGGACGAAGGCCUUCGGGUUGUAAACUGCUUUUGUACGGAACGAAACGGUGAGCUCUAAUACAGCUUGCUAAUGACGGUACCGUAAGAAUAAGCACCGGCUAACUACGUGCCAGCCGCCGCGGUAA